rnacentral:rRNA from 1 species
AUUGAACGCUGGCGGCAUGCCUUACACAUGCAAGUCGAACGGCAGCACGGGUGCUUGCCCCUGGUGGCGAGUGGCGAACGGGUGAGUAAUACAUCGGAACAUGUCCUGUAGUGGGGGAUAGCCCGGCGAAAGCCGGAUUAAUACCGCAUACGAUCUACGGAUGAAAGCGGGGGACCUUCGGGCCUCGCGCUAUAGGGUUGGCCGAUGGCUGAUUAGCUAGUUGGUGGGGUAAAGGCCUACCAAGGCGACGAUCAGUAGCUGGUCUGAGAGGACGACCAGCCGCACUGGGACUGAGACACGGCCCAGACUCCUACGGGAGGCAGCAGUGGGGAAUUUUGGACAAUGGGCGAAAGCCUGAUCCAGCAAUGCCGCGUGUGUGAAGAAGGCCUUCGGGUUGUAAAGCACUUUUGUCCGGAAAGAAAUCCUUGGCUCUAAUACAGUCGGGGGAUGACGGUACCGGAAGAAUAAGCACCGGCUAACUACGUG